GGCGGCAGCUACACAUGCAGUCGAGCGGAACGAGUUAUCUGAACCUUCGGGGGACGAUAACGGCGUCGAGCGGCGGACGGGUGAGUAAUGCCUAGGAAAUUGCCCUGAUGUGGGGGAUAACCAUUGGAAACGAUGGCUAAUACCGCAUGAUGCCUACGGGCCAAAGAGGGGGACCUUCGGGCCUCUCGCGUCAGGAUAUGCCUAGGUGGGAUUAGCUAGUUGGUGAGGUAAGGGCUCACCAAGGCGACGAUCCCUAGCUGGUCUGAGAGGAUGAUCAGCCACACUGGAACUGAGACACGGUCCAGACUCCUACGGGAGGCAGCAGUGGGGAAUAUUGCACAAUGGGCGCAAGCCUGAUGCAGCCAUGCCGCGUGUGUGAAGAAGGCCUUCGGGUUGUAAAGCACUUUCAGUCGUGAGGAAGGUAGUGUAGUUAAUAGCUGCAUUAUUUGACGUUAGCGACAGAAGAAGCACCGGCUAACUCCGUGCCAGCAGCCGCGGUAAUACGGAGGGUGCGAGCGUUAAUCGGAAUUACUGGGCGUAAAGCGCAUGCAGGUGGUUUGUUAAGUCAGAUGUGAAAGCCCGGGGCUCAACCUCGGAAUUGCAUUUGAAACUGGCAGACUAGAGUACUGUAGAGGGGGGGUAGAAUUUCAGGUGUAGCGGUGAAAUGCGUAGAGAUCUGAAGGAAUACCGGUGGCGAAGGCGGCCCCCUGGACAGAUACUGACACUCAGAUGCGAAAGCGUGGGGAGCAAACAGGAUUAGAUACCCU
rnacentral:rRNA from 1 species